GGGCCGGUAGCUCAAUGGUCGAGCAUCUGACUCUUAAUCAGCUGGUUGUGGGUUCGAGUCCCACCCGGCUCA
rnacentral:tRNA from 1 species